rnacentral:lncRNA from 1 species
AGAUUCAGGGGGCUUUGCUCUGCAGAUGAUGAACAAUGGAAUCAAACAUUUAAGCUGUGAAUAAAUAAUUACUCAUUUCUCUGAUCUUUUGCGGCAAGACACCAACACCUGUCUUUAUUUUAAUUCAUUUCCCAGUGUGUUGUGGCGAGGAUGAAAUAGUGUAUCCUAGGAUGCCAGGGGAAUCCACCGUCUGCCACCGCGAGCGUGAGAAGCCAAUCACCUAUCACUGGUAUCACUGGCAUCCCGGCCAUAUAUACCCUAGAGUUGCAUCAAUGGAAGGUGUUGUGGAAAUUCAGUCAUUCAGUUCAUUCAUGAUAUGAUUUCUAGAUUCUUCAGUGUCUCAUAUUUCAGACAAUUAUAAAAUUGCGAUGCUAUAUUCUUUAUUUCAUGUGUGCAUAUUUAAAUGUGUUAAGUCAAUCACUAGUGCUACAACCAGAGGAGUAAAGGUGUAUUUCCAUUCCAGAUUUGGGUUUACUUUUAAUAGUAAAUAACAUCUCAGUGCAAAUUGUAGACAUUUUGCUGAUUGUUAAAACAUUAAUUAAAAAGGAUCUUUUUCUGAGACAGUGUUGCCAGGUUUGUAAAGUAAUGGACAUCACUUCAAACUGUUUGGAAGUAACCGAAAAAUGGAGGAAGUGGCAACAAAACUUUCCAUAUACCCACCUUCCUCAGUAUUUUUUGGUGAUCCCAUCUUUGUGAGUGUGAUAACGCUCGUAACAAUGACUGAGCCAAUAGUGAUACAUUCUUAUGAACAGAAGUCCAAGGUUAGCAUCAGUGACUGAGCCAAUAGUGAUACAUUCUUAUGAACAGAAAUCUAGGGUUAGCAUCAAGGUUCACUCUGUGUUGUCCAGCCUAUGGGUUUUGACAAACUGACAAUGUCUUUUGUCACCCUGACGGAAUAAUUUCACAUCCUACACAUGACCUGAGCUGCAUCUACUAAUUCCUCUCCUUUUCUGAGGAUUCCUGACAACUAUGGAUGAUUUUACUGCCUCUAUAGGUUUCCUUUUCCAGAAUUGUAUAGAGUUGGAAUCAUAGAGUAUGUAGCUACGUAUAACUAACUUAUUUUACUUAGCAAUAUACAUGUAAGAUCUUUUGUAUCGUUUUGAAGCUUAACAGCUUAAUAAUUCUUAUCAGUGAACAAUAGUCCAUUGGUUUCAUCGAACAGGGUUAGUUGGUUCACUCACUGCCUGAAGACCAUCUGAGCUGCUUCCAAUUUGGGUAAUUAUGAAUAAAGCUGCCCACAUUCUUGUGCAGAUUUUAAGAUGAACAUAAUUUUCUAAUUUAGCUGGGUAAAUAUGUAGAAUUUUGAUCACUUGCUGGUAAGACUAUGUUUUCCAUUGUGUUAGGCAGAAUUCACCAGUACAAUUAUGUGGGCAUUUUUUUUUAAGUUAUUACUUCCUGAUUAAAUUCUAUAAUGAUAGAGGCCUACUCAGAUUAUCUAUCUCUCCUUUGGGUGGUUAUGGUAGUUUCUCCCUUUGAAGGCAUUUGUCCAUUUCAUCUAAGCUAGGAAAUUUGUGGGUGUAGACACUUGAAUCUGACAAGUUGCCUGCUUGGUUCUCAUCAAAGGCUACUGUGCUUCCUGUCAUUCCUACUCUCAAACUUUUCAAUAGACUUUCACUCCUGCACUUAAAAAAUUGCAGGCAUAGAUUUGUUGAAAGUAUUCUGUUAUUAUUUUCUUAAUGAUUAUGGGAUCAGCAAGGAUAAUUCCUCUUCUAUUCAUAUUGUUUGUACAUCGUGUCUUCUGUAUUUUCUUUGUGAUUAGCCUUGCUGGAGGUUUACCAAUUCUAUUGAUCUUUUCUAAGAAGCAGCUUUUGGUUUUGUUGAGUUUCUUUAUUUUAUUAUUUCUAUUACAUUGAUUUCUGCAAAUAUUGUUAUAUUUUGGGGGAGGAGUGUUGCCUGGUUUACAUUACACUACACUUUUUUCUCUAGUUUCCUAAGGUGGAAAGUAAGACAUCUGGAUUUGGAUUACAUUUAGUUUACUGCACAGAAUUGUGAAUGGCACUGAUGCCCCUGAAGUGUGCACUUGAUUAUUAAAAUAAUAAAUAUGAUGUAUUUUGGCCACAAUACUGAUUUUAAAGCCAAUUAAAUGGAUGAUAAGUACAGGAGGAGCAUAUGUAGAUCAAGGAAAGAUAAAUGACAUUAUAACAUUUCAACAACAAAAGAAAUUUACCGGGCCUCAAAAUGCACAAGGGGGUGAUGGGACACUGUCAUGAAAUCAGCAGUGCAUUUGUGUGCCACCCUGUGUGAACUCUGCCUUUUUUGCAGUGGUGUGGGGGCUUAGCCAGAGAACCAGGUCCUGACUUCUGUGGCUUCCUGAUGGUCUCAUUUGCCUUCCCUCAUCACCCAGGAGGGUGUCCCAGUGGCAGCCAAGUUUCUACCCUUAACCCACCUCCUUUACACAUGCCAGCCCCCUGUCCUUAGCAUCCAAGGUUGCCUAAGGGAUUCCUUCAGUGGAACCAACAUGAUGACAGUUACUCUGUGUUUCCUAGAUUACGAUGAGGACCUGGUGCAGGAAGCUUCAUCUGAAGAUGUCCUGGGCGUUCAUAUGGUGGACAAAGACACAGAGAGAGACAUUGAGAUGAAACGGCAACUACGGCGACUACGGGAGCUCCACCUAUACAGCACAUGGAAGAAGUACCAAGAGGCGAUGAAGACAUCCUUGGGAGUUCCACAAUGUGAGCGUGACGAAGGCUCCUUGGGCAAGCCAUUGUGUCCACCCGAGAUACUCUCGGAGACGUUGCCAGGCUCUGUGAAGAAAAGGGUAUGCUUUCCAUCAGAAGAUCAUCUAGAGGAGUUUAUAGCAGAACAUCUCCCUGAAGCAUCCAAUCAGAGUCUCCUCACUGUUGCCCAUGCAGACACAGGCAUCCAAACCAACGGUGACCUGGAAGACCUGGAGGAGCAUGGGCCAGGGCAGACAGUCUCUGAGGAAGCCACAGAAGUUCACAUGAUGGAGGGGGACCCAGACACACUGGCCGAACUUCUGAUCAGGGAUGUACUUCAGGAGCUGUCCAGUUACAACGGCGAGGAGGAGGACCCAGAGGAGGUGAAGACAUCCUUGGGAGUUCCACAACGUGGUGACCUGGAAGACCUGGAGGAGCAUGUGCCAGGGCAGACAGUCUCUGAGGAAGCCACAGGGGUUCACAUGAUGCAGGUGGACCCAGCCACGCCGGCAAAGAGUGACCUGGAAGACCUGGAGGAGCAUGUGCCAGGGCAGACAGUCUCUGAGGAAGCCACAGGGGUUCACAUGAUGCAGGUGGACCCAGCCACACUGGCAAAGCAAUUGGAAGACUCCACCAUUACAGGCAGCCACCAGCAGAUGUCAGCAAGUCCUUCCUCUGCACCUGCAGAAGAAGCAACAGAAAAGACCAAAGUGGAAGAGGAAGUGAAAACCAGAAAGCCCAAGAAGAAAACCAGGAAGCCCAGCAAGAAAAGCCGGUGGAAUGUCCUGAAAUGUUGGGACAUUUUUAAUAUAUUUUAGAGACCUCUGAAGAUUCCUCGACCACCAGGAAGGGCCCCGACGUGGGGAUGUCAACAUGGCUCAGACUUGAUGUGGAUCGUGAUCAUUUCGGGAAAUGUGUUACUCCAAAAACUUUUAUAAUCUUUGCUUAAUUUGUUUUUAAAUACUUUCCUGGCUGGGCGUGGUGGCUUAUGCCUGUAAUCCCAGCACUUUGGGAGGCCGAGGCGGGUGGAUCACCUGAGGUCAGGAGUUAAAGACCAGCCUGGCCAACAAGGUGAAACCCCGUCUCUACUAAAAAUACAAAAAUUAGCUAGGCGUGGUGGCGCACUCUUGUAGUCCCAGCUAUUUGGGAGGCUGAGGCAGGAGAAUCACUUGACCUCAGGAGGCGGAGGUUGCAGUGAGCCGAGAUCAUGCCACUGCACCCCAGCACCUGGCUACAGAGUGAGACUUUGUCUCAAAAAAAAAAAAAAAAGAACAAAAAAAUUCUGACUUUAACCUCUGUUUUUCAGAGGGCACAAAUUGUUCUUGUAUUGUUUCCAUUUUACAUUUUUUUCUUGAAGUUAUUUUCCAAUUGUUUUCAUUCUUUCUGAAGUUUUGUUUACUCGGUUUUAAGUUUUUGUAAUUUUGAUAGACUUUUGUGCUUUCAUUUUCUUAAUGACUUUUACCUCAUUUUUAAAACAAAUCCAUAGUAUGGAUGAUAUUGAUGAUGAAAUGUCUUACGAUGAUCAUUUAGAGGUUUAUUUUGAACAACUGGCAAUUCCAGGAAUGAUGGAAUAAAGCAUACGAAGUAGAAGGACUGGAACCUCCAGAAAAAGUACUUUAAGUUACCUACAGGUGAUCCUAGUCAGGCAAAUGAAAACAGUAGCCUAAAGUGUCAGUUUCAACCAGAAAAUAACAGCUCUGAUUUCUCAUGGCUCAUACUCGUCUGAAACGACUCAGGUAGAGGCUGAGGAAGGCCGUGUUGUUUGUCUACCUGGGACUACACCUACUGAAAGAAGUUCUCAAGUUCUGAUUGAGUUCUAAAAUUUUUUGAAGAUUGGAAUUCUUCAUAUGUAAAAAGAGAAGAGAAAGACAUUCUUGAUUUUGGUGACUAGAGUUGUAGAUGCUGGAAGCUUUGCCACUAACAUUGAUGAACCAGAUGCAUGUCACCAGCCCAUCACGGUGAUUCUUAAUGCCGGCACCAUGGGCCCGGCACUGCCACGUUUUCCAAGGAACCUGCCGGAGCUCCUGCGGAAGCUGCUCCUCAGGCGAUGGAGUCCCUUCGCUGGUAGGCCCUUCUUCAGUCACCACAGGAUGCCUGCCAUUCAUGAACAAGAAGGAGAGGACGGGCUUUGAAUAAAAAACAGGAUCCAGGAAAUAUUUGUGAGGCCAUUUGGACUUCAGUGUGAAAUGGUGUUAAAAGAUGAAGUCAUUUAUUCAAGAAGUAAACCUCUGCCACCUGGACUGUGCGCAGACAUUUCAUUGAUUUUGUUUAAUAAACAUUUUCUGGCUUUGGGAGGUGUCUCUCUUGGUAGAACACAGUGUCAAAGAUGGACAAGAUGGACACAUAGUCCAUUAUUUGGUAUUGUUUGUGUAUGGGAGCAGACCACAAAUUAAUGUUUGGAGAACAAUUUUGUCAUAACACACUGUUGAGGCUCAGUUGUACAGAACUGGAAAAGUCUUCAGCUUGGCACAUGUCCUGAUUCAGCCUUUGUUUAACAUAUAUUCCAAUCCGGAUUCUAUCUUCACUGGCUACAAAGACCACCUGAUACGUGCACCACGACACAGGAGCUGCUGGAGAGGGGGUAGUGUUAUCACCUCAAACCCACAGCCAUAUUUUUCAAAAGCCAGCUUAGAGAGAGGUGUACUGAUAGCUGCAUAGAGAACAUGCAGUCCAUCCAUUCUUCCCAGUGAUGUACAUUUCUCAAUCAGUAACCACGUGGUAUACCAGCCUUGAGUGUCACAUCUCCCAACCAUACCAAAUGGAUCACCUAACUGGAGGUGGGGGGGGCCCUCAGAAAUGAGAUUUCGUAUUUACUGUAAAAUUGCCUUAUUUUUUCUUUUGAGGUGGAGUCUCACUCUGUUGCCUGGGCUGGAGUGCAAUGGUGUGAUCACUGCUCACUGCAACCUCCGCCUCCUGGGUUCAAGCAGUUCUCCUGCCUCAGCCUCCCAAGUAGCUGCAAUUACAGGUGCAUGCCACCACUCCCAGCAAAUUUUUAUAUUUUUAGUGGAGACAGGGUUUCACCAUGUUGACCAGGCUGGUCUCAAACUCCUGACCUCAGGUGAUCUGCCCACCUUGGCCUCCCAAAGUUCUGGGAUUAAAGGUACGAGCCACCGCAACUGGCUGAGAAUCUUUUUAUUUGCUGAUUUGUCUCUUGUGUAUUUUCUUUGUUCAGAUGUCUCUUCAGAUCUUUUUCUCACUUUUAAAUUGUUUUUUAAUUGUUAAGAAUUUUCUGUCUAGUUUAGAUAUAAGCCCUUUAUCAGACAUGUGUUUUGCAAAUAUUUUCUCCUAGUCUGUGGCUUGUAUUCUGUCUCUUAACACUCAUUUUAUUUUUACUUUUGGAACUAAAGAAGAAGAAUGGUCAGCUUUCCAUUAUUCUUGUAACAGUAAUGGCAGAACCAAGUCUGCUAAUGCUACACUGAGCAAAGAAAGUCACCUGGUGAAGUCCAACAUUAAUGAAAUGGGGUAGUACAUGCAGGCAGCGUUGGGGGUGGGGAGGGAACAAAUGCUUCUUGAGAGUAAUAUAAUCUGCCAUACCAUCCAGGAACCUACAAUGGCUAUCUAUUACCUUAUUCUCUGGUUUGUUUAAUGUUCGAAUCUUUCCGAAAGAUCCUUCAACCUUUCUGGAAGAAUCUAAUCUGAUAACACCAUCAAAAACACAUUACUUCUUUUGGCAUAAUUUAAAUUGUAAGACAUCAUUCACAUUUAUCAAUGUUACAUAUAUAAGAACUCACCCACCAUAUUCUUCCUUGAGGAAUUACAGCAUGUAAUUCUAUAAUCAUUUUUAUAAUCGUCUAACAAUUUUAUAAUGGAUUGGUUGCUUACUAUCAAUUUUUUAAAAGUCAUGGCUUCUCCAGUCAUUUCUUGCUUAUCGAAAUUAUUUCAUGAGAUGGGUCUCUCCUUGUAUAUUUGAAAAUGAGGUUUGCUUCCUUCUACUUAAAAAACAACUUGAACAUACCUGUUUGGAUCACAUGGUCUUGUCCUGAUAACUUGGAAGAGGUUGCUUCAGCAUUGUUCUUAUUGUUGUGGUGGUUAUUAUUAAUAUUGUUUCAUAUUCUGUUUAAAAAAUUAAAAUUUUACACAAGACCAAUGUCUUCUUUUCAAUUCCAGUACAUUUUUCAGAAGUAACUAAUGCUAUUGGCUUUGUGCAUUGUAAUUUCAGACCAUUUUAUAUGUCUUUAGUUAUAUGUACAGUAUACACACAUAUGUGUCAUAUUAUUCCAUUUUUUCUAGCAUUAAACAUUGCUAUGGAAAACUCUCGGAAAAAUAUUUAUUUGAACAGAACUUUUUCUUUUCUCAGAUGUACCCUCCUUAGGAAUCUUUCUUUGAUCCUUGAAGUUUGGUAACAACUUUAAAUAUGUCCUCCCAAAAUGCUGGGAUUACAGGCAUGAGCCAUUGCACCCAGCCAUACAGGAGCAAGUUUAAAAAUUAAAUAUUUAUUUGAAUAACAAGCUUACAUUGGAGCUGCAAUGUUGGCAAUCCAGAUUUUGAACACGGAUCACAAAAAGCAUGCAUAAAAUCCUACUGGCCCAGAGAACAAAACACUGCUCAGAAUUAAGCGAAAUAGCUGCUACUGUUAAGAAAACAGGCCUGAAAUCAAUAUACAAGAUUUUAAAAAAUGUAUUGGCCGGAUGCAGUGGCUCAUUCCUGUAAUUCCAGAACUUUGGGAGGCCAAGACAGGAGAAUCACCUGAGGUCAGGAGUUCAAGACCAGCCUGGCCAACAUGGUGAAACUCCAUCUCUACUAAAAAUAAAAAAUUAGCUGGGUGUGGUGACACAUGCCUGUAGUCCCAGCUACCUGGGAGGCUGAGGCAGAAUAAUUUCUCGAACCCAGGAGGAGGAGGUUGCAGUGAGCCGAGAUCAUGCUAUUGCACUCCAGCCUGGGCUACAGGUGAGACUCCGUCUCAGGGAAAAAAAAAAAAGGUAUUAAACACUACCAUAUACAGAACAAUCUUUGUUAUUGACUAUAUUUAAAAAUCAUUUUGCACAGUUAAUUAUAUAUUGCAAAUGAGCAUAAUACAUGAACUUCAUUUUGGAAGGCAAUUCCUUGUUACACUAAAAAACAUCUAAUUUCAUGCUGGGAUUACAGGCAUGAGCCACCAUGCCUGCCCAUGAAAGCACUUUUAAAAAGAGAGCACCUCUGCUGCCUGGUCAUAUUCUGUACCUGUUCCCAAACCCUGAAACCAGUGAUGUCAAUGGCUGCGUGGGCAUUGAACGUGUACAUGAUUCCUGCAGCUUUCCUGUUGACCUGGACCAUGUUCAUCAAUGCUUUUUGGUACAUUAAUUCUACAUCUUCUUCGGUGACCACAGUUUAUGUUUAUUUCAUUUUUCAGGAAUAUCCAGCCACUGGUGCACAGCCAUUGCCACUUGUGCCCCCAGGGGAUCUUGUCAACUCCAGUAUGUCCCCCCAGCACUGUGUUAUCUGGCAUAAUAAAUGUAGUUGGGCUGUAGUUGUAGUGACUCCUCCCAAAACAACCCAGGAGUUUAAUACUGUUUGGCCACCGGUUACAGACAUUGCUGCCCCUUCCGCUGCGGCUUUAAAAGCCUAUCUAAUCGGCUGGGUGUGAUGGUGGCUCAGACCUAUAAUCCCAGCACUUUGGGAGUCCAAGGUGGGUGGAUCACCUGAGGUCAGGAGUUUGAGACCGGCCUGGCCAACAUGGUGAAACCCCAUCUCUACUAAAAAUACAGCAAAUUAGCUGGGCGUGGUGGCGCAUGACUGUAAUCCCAGCUACUCGGGAGGCUGAGGUAGGAGAAUUGCUUGGGUGGCAGAGUAAGACUCCGUCCCAAAAAAAAAAGUUAUCUAAUCAGGGACGUCACCUUUCCCUGCCAGUCAUUUUGUUACCAAUGAAAGAAAACAUAUUCAAAUCAAUUUUUAGUUCAGAAAAUGUUUCUUUCAUUGUAUCUUUGAAUUUUAUUGUUCUGCAUUUUUUACUUCAAAAACACCUACUAUAUGCAUUUUUUCUCUCGUUUCCUUUUUUUUCCAAGAAAUGUUUUUGUCCUUUUGAUUUUUUCACUGACCAUUACCAUUAUUUAUAUACCAUGUACCUGGAGAGUUUCCAAUGUUUCUCUUUGGUCUGAGAUACUUGCUAUGAUUUUCACUUUUUAAAUGCUCUUUUGAGAUUUGUUUUGUGGCCUAAAAUGUGGUCUAUCCUGGAGAAUGUUCUGUGAGCUGAUGAGAAGAAUGCACGUUCUGCAGUUGGUGGGUGAAAUGUUCUGUAAUUACCUGUGAGGUCCCUUUGACUUCUCUUGGAGUCAGUCUGGUCUGUUACUUUUCUGCCUAGAGGGUGUGUCUGUUGCUGAAAGUGGGUGUUGGAGUCCCCAGCUAUUAUUGUCUGUCUCUGUCUGUUGCUCGAAUAACUCUUACUUUAAUAACUGGGGCUCCUGUGUCAGGUGUGUUUACAUUGACAACUGUCCUACCUUCUUGCUGAAUUGAUCUCUUUAUCGUUUUAUAAUGACCUUUAUUUUCUAUUUUUGUGCUUUUUUGACUUAAAGCCUACUUUGUGUGACAAGCAUAGCUAUACAUACUCACUUUUGGUAACACUUUUCAUUUCUUAUCAUCUUCAUUGAAUCUCACUUCUUCACAUUUACCAAAAUGUCUACUUUUGAGCUGUGGCACCUCUUUGAAUCUUCAGAUCCACCACAUGCUGAUCAAGCCUUCCUUUUUGUCUGUACUCUGAGGAAUCCCAAACAGGCAUUUUUGCAAGAAAGUCUAGGAGGGAAACAUAAAUCUAUGUGUCAAAAAAAUGAACAUAGAAAAUAAUGUGUCCUGGUUAACAAAAGUUCUCAUUGUAAAGUGUUAGGCACAAGACUAUGGAAUUUCAUGUGCCAUAAAUAAAAUUGUCUUGAUU